UUUGGAGGCAGAUGAGCCGUUUGUUCUCGAUGUGGAAAAUGUCGUCAGUCGUUUCCGGGCGAAUCUGCUCGUGUCUGGAGCCCAGGAGUUUCAGGAGGAUCUGUGGUGUGGGCUGAGAGUCGGAGACGCGACAUUCACGGUGUCGGGGCCGUGUGGACGAUGUCACAUGGUCGGGAUCGACCAGGAGACCGGAGUCCGGACCAAAGAACCUCUGCUCACUCUGUCUGCGUACAGGAAGAACAGCAAGGUGACGUUCGGCGUGUACCUCGCCCACCAGCUCCCGCAGGACUCGGCCGUGACCCCUGUGCUCAGAGUCGGCUCCCGCGUCCUGCCCCAGUCUCUCCGCUCCUAAACUCUGUGCUGCUCGUUUUACACUGGCUCCACAGAUUUAGAAGAAUAUUAUUUAUUAUUGUUUUAUUUGUUUUGUUUUGCUUUUGCUUUUGACUCAAAUACGACAUGUGUAAGAUUAAGUCAUUUUAAUCCUGUGUUUCCCACUGAAGCUUAUUCU